AGUGGGAAGGUGGGUAUGUUAAUAGCAUACUCAUUUGACGUUAGCUGCAGAAGAAGCACCGGCUAACUCCGUGCCAGCAGCCGCGGUAAUACGGAGGGUGCGAGCGUUAAUCGGAAUUACUGGGCGUAAAGCGCAUGCAGGUGGUUUGUUAAGUCAGAUGUGAAAGCCCGGGGCUCAACCUCGGAAUUGCAUUUGAAACUGGCAAACUAGAGUACUGUAGAGGGGGUAGAAUUUCAGGUGUAGCGGUGAAAUGCGUAGAGAUCUGAAGGAAUACCGGUGGCGAAGGCGGCCCCCUGGACAGAUACUGACACUCAGAUGCGAAAGCGUGGGGAGCAAACAGGAUUAGAUACCCUGGUAG
rnacentral:rRNA from 1 species